UAGGGAAUCUUCGGCAAUGGGGGGAACCCUGACCGAGCAACGCCGCGUGAGUGAAGAAGGUUUUCGGAUCGUAAAGCUCUGUUGUUAAGGAAGAACGAGUGUGAGAAUGGAAAGUUCAUGCUGUGACGGUACUUAACCAGAAAGGGACGGCUAACUACGUGCCAGCAGCCGCGGUAAUACGUAGGUCCCGAGCGUUGUCCGGAUUUAUUGGGCGUAAAGCGAGCGCAGGCGGUUAGAAAAGUCUGAAGUGAAAGGCAGUGGCUCAACCAUUGUAGGCUUUGGAAACUGUUUAACUUGAGUGCAGAAGGGGAGAGUGGAAUUCCAUGUGUAGCGAUGAAAUGCGUAGAUAUAUGGAGGAACACCGGUGGCGAAGGCGACUUGCUGGACUUCAACUGACGCUGAGGAACGAAAGCGUGGGUAGCAAACAGG
rnacentral:rRNA from 1 species